rnacentral:rRNA from 1 species
ACUGCUCAGUAACACGUGGAUAACCUGCCCUUGGGUCCGGCAUAACCCCGGGAAACUGGGGAUAAUUCCGGAUAACGCACAUAUGCUGGAAUGCUUUAUGCGUAAAAUGGAUUCGUCUGCCCAAGGAUGGGUCUGCGGCCUAUCAGGUAGUAGUGGGUGUAAUGUACCUACUAGCCUACAACGGGUACGGGUUGUGAGAGCAAGAGCCCGGAGAUGGAUUCUGAGACAUGAAUCCAGGCCCUACGGGGCGCAGCAGGCGCGAAAACUUUACAAUGCGGGAAACCGUGAUAAGGGGACACCGAGUGCCAGCAUCAUAUGCUGGCUGUCCAGGUGUGUAAAAUACACCUGUUAGCAAGGGCCGGGCAAGACCGGUGCCAGCCGCCGCGGUAACACCGGCGGCCCGAGUGGUGAUCGUGAUUAUUGGGUCUAAAGGGUCCGUAGCCGGUUUGGUCAGUCCUCCGGGAAAUCUGACGGCUCAACCGUUAGGCUUUCGGGGGAUACUGCCAGGCUUGGAACCGGGAGAGGUAAGAGGUACUACAGGGGUAGGAGUGAAAUCUUGUAAUCCCUGUGGGACCACCUGUGGCGAAGGCGUCUUACCAGAACGGGUUCGACGGUGAGGGACGAAAGCUGGGGGCACGAACCGGAUUAGAUACCCGGGUAGUCCCAGCCGUAAACGAUGCUCGCUAGGUGUCAGGCAUGGCGCGACCGUGUCUGGUGCCGCAGGGAAGCCGUGAAGCGAGCCACCUGGGGAAGUACGGCCGCAAGGCUGAAACUUAAAGGAAUUGGCGGGGGAGCAC